GACGAACGCUGGCGGCGUGCUUAACACAUGCAAGUCGAACGGCAAGGCCCUGCUCUUGUGGGGUGCGCGAGUGGCGAACGGGUGAGUAACACGCGAGUAACCUGCCCUUGACUUCGGGAUAACUUCAGGAAACUGGGGCUAAUACCCGAUAGGAGCUCCUGCUGCAUGGUGGGGGUUGGAAAGUUACGGCGGUUGGGGAUGGACGCGCGGCCUCUCAGCUUGUUGGUGGGGUGGUGGCUUACCAAGGCUUCGACGGGUAGCCGGCUUUAGAGGGUGACCGGGCACAUUGGGACUGAGAUGCGGGCCGGACUCCUACGUGAGGCAGGAGUGGUGAACAUUGCGCGAAGGGCCGAAGCCGGAUGCAGCAACGCCGCGUGCUGGAUGACGGUCGUCGGGGUGUAAACCGCGUUCGCCUGUGAUGAAGCGCGAGUGACGGUGAUGGGUAGAGAAGCACCGGCUAAGUACGUG
rnacentral:rRNA from 1 species